GGCCGCCUGGCGAAAUGGCAUCGCAUCUGACUACGAACCAGGAGAAUGUAGGUUCGAGCCCUGCGGUGGUCA
rfam:Sphaerobolus stellatus SS14 unplaced genomic scaffold SPHSTscaffold_1, whole genome shotgun sequence.